UUGACGCAGUCUCCAGGCACCCUGUCUUUGUCUCCAGGGGAAAGAGCCACCCUCUCCUGCAGGGCCAGUCAGAGUGUUAGCAGCAGCUACUUAGCCUGGUACCAGCAGAAACCUGGCCAGGCUCCCAGGCUCCUCAUCUAUGGUGCAUCCAGCAGGGCCACUGGCAUCCCAGACAGGUUCAGUGGCAGUGGGUCUGGGACAGACUUCACUCUCACCAUCAGCAGACUGGAGCCUGAAGAUUUUGCAGUGUAUUACUGUCAGCAGUAUGGUAGCUCACC
rnacentral:lncRNA from 1 species